UUCCUCUUUCUUCCCCGCUUCUUUAAUCCUCCCCUAGUCGCGAUCAACCGUGUUUUCUAUCCUUAGAAAAUGCGGGCGUGACAUUAUAUUGGAUAGUGCAUUUGAUGCAUAUCAGGUAUGUAGGGUAUGUAGCUAAGUAGAAUAAUUUCUAUAAACAGUAGUAAUAAUUUUGAUAAAUAUAAUGCGAAUUUCAUACUUAUUAGUACGUAUUUGUUUUAGGUUCGAUACCGUUUGGUACCUCCACUUUCUUAUGACAGCGAAAGAUGGCAAUCGUGCGUGAACAAUCUUAGUACUUGUACAAGUACAGACAAACAAUUAAUAACUGAUUUAGGGGGUGCAUUUUUAAAAGCCGUUAGAGAGAUCUCAAAUAAUCCAACAAUAGGCAUGUUUAUACAUGCAUGCCUCAUUCACACUGUCUUAAUUGAUGGACGUUUUUGGACCCCCAAUUCAACCAUCAAAUUGGGAAAUUUGAGCAUACAAGAGGCUUUUGCAAAUUGGUACUUUGACAGAAAACCAGUUAGACUUAUUACUGCUGCUAAUUUUUUAGAGAUAUGUACUAAGAAAAAAAUGUUAUCAUCCAAUGAAUUAUGCAAUAUGCUCAGUUUUCUUUAAA